rnacentral:rRNA from 1 species
CCUACGGGAGGCAGCAGUGAGGAAUAUUGGUCAAUGGGCGAGAGCCUGAACCAGCCAAGUCGCGUGAAGGAUGACGGCCCUACGGGUUGUAAACUUCUUUUGUCAGGGAGCAAUUGGGUCCACGCGUGGGCUUAGCGAGAGUACCUGAAGAAAAAGCAUCGGCUAACUCCGUGCCAGCAGCCGCGGUAAUACGGAGGAUGCGAGCGUUAUCCGGAUUUAUUGGGGUUAAAGGGUGCGUAGGCGGAAUAUCAAGUCAGCGGUAAAAAUUCGGGGCUCAACCCCGUCGUGCCGUUGAUACUGAUGGUCUUGAGAGGGUGAGAAGGAUGCGGAAUGCGUGGUGUAGCGGUGAAAUGCAUAGAUAUCACGCAGAACGCCGAUUGCGAAGGCAGCAUACCGGCGCCCAACUGACGCUGAAGCACGAAAGCGUGGGUAUCGAACAGGAUUAGAUACCCGAGUAGUC